GGCCGGUUGGCGCAGUGGUAGCGCAUAAGUCUCCAAAUAGCUUCAGGUCAAGGGUUCGAAUCCCUUACUGGUCA